UACAUGAAACAGGGGCCUAAAAAUAUAACACAUAUUAUCUUACGUCUGCAUCCGCGAUGAGAACUCUGAGUUCUUGUAAACUUUCAUUGAUGCGAGCCCUUCUUUUCUUCUCGACCAGAGGUUUCCUCAUCUGCCAAAUCAAUUUUAUCCCACUGCAGUUAUCACCUCUGUCCAUUCCGUUUGUGUUGCUACGGAUGGGGGCCAUGUUGUUGAAGUUUAACCCAGGCGCUGCCAGAAGCCCACUGGACUGGAGGUUGGUGUGUAAUCCUAAGAGCCGUUACAGCGUGUCAAUGGGUGGGACAGAUGGCCGGGCGAUCCCAGCGACCAACAAAGCUUGCAGAGAGACUUGGCUCCUUAAUGCUGCUCCGAGGGGGUAUGUACUAGGUAUAUAUGACGGUUCAUUUACAUGUGAAUGGAUGAACUGGCUACGAGAGCAAGACACAUCGAGGGCGCGCAACGCUCGUACCCGCCAAUCAUCAGUGGUCAUGUUAGCUUGUGUCCCCAACUUCAGUCUGAACCAUUGACUGUAUAUAAAGAUGGUAUUAACCUACAUACAGAUUAAAAACAUAAACUGCUGAGAUACAUUCUACAAGAAAAGGGC